ensembl:lncRNA
CCCGCGAUCUGAUUGGAUAAAGUGGGGGCUCGACGGUGGCCGACGUGGGACAGUCUGGCUGUGGCAGGGGUCUCGGAAACCAUGGGUUAUUGCAGUGGCAGGUGCACGCUUAUCUUUAUCUGUGGCAUGCAACUGGUAAAAUGGAAGAAAAAAGAAAAGGAAAGGUGACAGAUAUAUUGCCUAUAUUUAAAAUGAUUUCAGGGAGACGCACCGUGUGGUAUGGCAGAGGUGAGGCUUCCUGCCCCCACCUAUUUCUUUUCCUCUGAAAACAGUUUGUCAGGUGCGGGUUAAACUUGUUGUCUUUAAUUUCUUUAAGCAAAGCAAAAGGUAGUUCCUUUAUGCUUUGCGUUCCUGUUAAUACAGCAACGUGAUUGUUACAUAUAAUGUACUAUACAGGUGUUAAAAUAGAGAAAUGUGGAAUUUUUGACUUUUCUUGUGUAUACUAAUUUUGCUGUAUCUUUAUUUCUUCAUUGACUUGUAUUAUUUUUCAAGGCAUAUGUUGUCUUCUAAGUAUAAUGCUGUAGCAAACCACUGUGUAGGGCAGAUGAUACCCUUAAAGCAGUCUAAUCAAGGCAGCAUUGAGUUUUAAAAGUAUGUAGACUGAGGAGAAAUACUUAGAUGAACUCAGCAACACCAUUGCCGUAGUCUGAAGCAGUAGCUUUUAAAUCACAAUUAUUAUAAACAAUUCUAAGGAAAAAUAUUAUAUCUUACAAUAUGUAUAUAAUUGCUCUUGAAGUAAUACUGUUGUCUGAUCCCAUGGGAUGGAGAAUUAUUUGUACUUUUGGAGGAAUGCUGUACAGUUGUAACAAGGCAAGGAGCCAAUAAUGAAAAACGUCAUGUCUCUGACUUUAAAUUCCCUAAGGGCAAUAGAAGGAUAGUUUAGAGGUGAAAGAUAUACCACUAUAAGUGGUUGAUUUGAGGUGGGAGGUACUCACUCACACCUCUUGUCAAACAGCUUUCCUUGGAAAGUAUAAAUUAAUAUGAAGAGCUACCCACAUUUCCAACAAUUGUUUUAUAAAGGCUGAAAGGACUGCCAGACUGAACAAAAUUUCUGAGAGCCCAAUCAUUAAUCAAAGGAGCAAGAAUUUGCCUUUGGAACUGAUAGAUGAAUUUCUUAAGUGUCCUUCAUUGUUUAUCAAUUGUCAUGAAACCCAUGAGUGGUGGUGGUAGUUGUUUGUUUAAUAUUUCGCUGAAGCAGUGGUUUCAGUUGCAGAUUGUCUCAGGGAUGUUUUUAUUUCCAAGGAAAGUUAUCUGAUGAAGUAUAUUUCUAUCUGUGAAUUACUUAUGCAUUUGGUUGCAAGAAAAAGAAGAUGGAACUAUAAUUUUGAGAAUAUAGCAUUUUCUCAAUGGCAUGUAAACCGGUUUAUAUUUCUGUACCACAUAUUCAAUUAAGUUCUGCAAAAAAGGUUUUUACUCUUAAUGAUAAAGCUAUCAGAACGAUGAGAGAGCUUACUUUGUUAAAGCAUCAGUAAGGACAAGUGUGCCAAACUGUAUAAACAUUUUCAGAACAUUCUUAUGUUCAUAUAUGAUCCAGAAAAGAAUACAUUUGCUGAUUCACUGUGUAAAAAGCAUAAAAUUGUGAGAAUGAGUGGGUGGGUAAGAGCUUUCUCAUGCUUUUUUCAGUAUAAAAAAUGUGAUUUAGCUUUUAAUCAUUUAACAUAGUAGGGCUUUAUUAUGGUAAAUGUAGGCAUUAGAUCUAUAUGUCAUUUCAUGUGGUGAAUACAUACUCCUCCAGAACUUAGACAGUUUUAGAAAAACAGAAGUGUACAAAUGGGAAGCUAAGAAUACAAAGUAGCAUAAUAUAAGGCUAAGGAUGUGUGUGCAUGUGUGUGUGUGUGUGUAUGCUCUCGCACACGUGUGUGCACAUUCCUGCAUGUAUGCAAUAAUGUGUUGGAAGAUGCUACCUCACUUUUGAAACAGAAAUUCUGAAUCAAAGUUCUCUAACAAAAUAGAAAUAGCUGUAUUAUAGAAGUACUCAAUCUAAGCAAGUAUACAUUUGAAUCCUUAGGAGUAUUUUAUGCUCUGUAAGAAUCAUGUGAUUUUUCUCAUUCAGACUUUAUGUGCCACUAGGCUAAUAUAAUUAGCAGCCAUGUUAAUGAAGAUGCAGAAGAAAAAACAAAGGAUGAAGAACAUCCAGUUGGUUUGAUAGGGUGAAAUCAUCACAUAUAAAGGACUCUAGAGACUCCUGGUAAUUGUUGCUUCUUAGAAAUGUAGUAUUUAAUUUUUAGUAAAAUAACUUUUGCAAAUUAAUAGUUGCAAAGCACUGUGUUUGCACACACACACAAAUAGGUGAAUGUUUAUAAUUUCCUUUGCUCUUGAUAGAUCUUUAAAAACUUUGUCUCUUUGAGCUAUUCUGAAUAAAGUUUGUUUUAUAAGUAGCCAGGUUUUCAGAAUAAAUUAUGACUCAAUGUACCAUUGAUCGACACAACAGUUCACUCAGUUUUGUUUACUUCUGAAGUGUUUAAUGUGCAUUCUUAUAACAGUUGGGCAUUUUUUGUACCCGUACAGAAAAAUCUUAGCUUUUUGAAAAUUAAUUGAAGCCAAAAUAGUCCAAGAUAGAAAUUUAUUACAUUUCUCUGUUAAGUAACUGUUGAGUUUCUAGAAACAUUUGACAACAAUUCUCUGAGUAGAGUCCCUGAAUUUUAGUUAGACUUAAAGCAAUAUUUAUAUCUAUGUAAACUUGUGACUCACCUUAGUAGAAGAGAAGGUAGCUUUUGUAUUCUGAAAAUGGGAAGCUCAUUCAUCAGAGUACUAUCAGAGCAGACACAGGGUGUUGAUCCUUUAACAAGCGAAGGACAGAGACAAAGGCUUCAGAGAAAUGUACCUGUCAGGAUUUUCUGUCUGCUUUUAACUAUGUUAAAUGUGUAUUUUAAUUUAAUGUUUGGUGGGCAAGUGUGGAUAAACAUAUUCUUUUAAAAGUCAGGAAAUAAAGUUUAUGAGAAAUUAGAAUUCUGUAUCAUAGAGAUUUAAUACAAAACUUCCCUUUUAUGAAAAAGUAUCUGUCUGUAUCAUACAUUAAAAUUUGAGCUGAAUGGUUUCUCCCAACCUCAGAUUUUAGGGUGAUUCCUAUGAAAAAAGGGUGUGAUCUCUGGAAACAUUUGCUGCAUGUGCAGAAUCCAGAGUUUAAGCUCCUAAUUUCAGGAAGGUUAUUUUCUUUUUUAUCAUCCCUGCCCUUAAUGUUCAGAAACUGAAGAUGUGAAGUAGUCCCAAAAACCAUCCCUGCCCUUGCAGAGGUGGAUGUGGUGGUAUAGGACAAGAACAUUUUAACUUAUUUACCACUUGUAGCAGUUUGUGAAAGAGGUCCUGCUCUUUUUUUCCUUCCAUAUUUGGUUGAAUCGGAGUACUUUAUAUCAGUGUUGAAAAAAUUCCUCAGGCAUCUCACAUAUUUCUCAGUGGAAAAAAAAUAUCACUCAGUUAUAACAUGGAAGAGCAUAAUUUAUUUUAGUUUGAAAAGACAGCUUUGUUUUCAAGUAAGGAAAUUAAAAAUCGCCCACAUUUUUUUACAUCAGACUCCUAUAUGGCAUGAAGCAUAUGUGUCAUAAACUACUGAAAGUAUAGAUUUCUGUGGAACAGAUUAACACUCAAAAAUGCCAUUCUUGCCAUGGCUCUAUGAAGUAUUGCUAACUUGGAGCAGGUGCAACCAGCAAUUAGGUUAGUACACAUGUGUGUGCAGCUUUGUGGAGAGACGCCUUUGAAACAAUUAAGAAUGAUCGCUUCCUUUCUACCGCACAGUUACUAAGCAUUUUCAGAGGUACUCAUUUAUCAGAGAAGGCCAUAAGUGCAUAAAUGGACCAAGUAAAAACAAUUUCAUCCUAAUUAUGGAGUAUUUCAGUGGUGUCGAUCGUGAAUUUCUGCAGCAUUCAUAGUUACAAGCUCUUUGGUUGCUUAAAAUUGACACGAAGUGGCUUGAAAAGUGCUGGUAAACUCUUACAAUUUCCCUAAGGUACUUUUGACAAGCCAAAAAGUUCUCCAGAAGUGUAGACCAUUACAUGUCCCAACCCUCCCUCUCAGAGAAUUUACAAUUUAAGAUUCCAGUGCCAUUGGUGAUAAAAUCUUACCUGAUCUGAGGUCCUGAUCAGAUUCAUGGAGAAGACUAAAAAUUUCCACAUAAUAUUUCAGAAUCUUAUGGUGGAAAAAUAGGCUAAGAAUGUGCUAGGUUGUAAAAUGAGGAUUACUCUUUCAAUGUUUUCUAUUUUGCAUCCAACAUCGUCCUGCUCGUUUUAGUCUGUAAUUUACUCUUUCAUUGUCAUUCAGCACUAUUCAGCCCUAAUGUUUACCAAGAAAGAUGUAGAAAGUUCUUCCAGAUUCCUUUUUCACACCCCCGAAGUUUCACAGAGCCAGUCUCUGCAGAGCUGUUUCCCCUUCUUUUCUCAAAUAAAGGCUUGGAUGGGCAGCAUCCUCUUGCAGAAAGCCAGAGUCAUCUCUGGCUUGGGGCCCAUAUGUGGGCAAUGGCCCAGAUAUGCAAAUGGACAUCACCACCAGCUUUUCUCUCAGAUGCUGCUUUACUUUGGGGUCACAUUCUCUACUUGCCCAGUCAAGAAUUUCAGAAUGGCAGCCAGGGACUCCUUAAAAUAGGAGGUCUUUAUUUCUUGGUAUGUUUCUUUUCUGUGCAUGUGUGCACUUGACAAAAAUAAAAUCUGAGACAGAAACACGUUUUAACAUUUCUACAUUUAUGCUGGAAAUAAAAAAAUUAAAAUGAUGGCCUUAUUAAAUAUUUAUAUAUCAGUUGUCCUUUGGUGUCUGCGGGGGACUGGUUCCAGGACCCCGCCUCUUCAUGGAUUUUGUCUCCAAUGCAAGUCUCUGACAUGAAAUGAGAGUCAGCCCUGCAUUAACUGUGGGUUCCACUAACAUUUCAAGGGAUUCCUGUCAGUUAUUUAGUAGAAUUUCAAGAAGCUCAGUGUAAUUUUCUAAAAAUUUGAAACUAGUAUUGCUUAUAAUUUCUUCUCUAUUUCCAUGCCUUAGAACACACAAAUAUCAGAAACCAAACAUGCAUAGGAGAACUCUUUAAAUUCUAUUAUUUCACCUACGUAAUGAACUCCUCCAAUUUUGGUUCCCCUUUCCCCUUGAAACUUGAUUAUUGUUUAUUUUAAAUAGAAUAAAAUAUGUAGAACAUCAAGAUAUGAUUUAUCUAGGGUUUUUUUUUAACCCCCACAACAAAUAGAAGAGGCACGUACUGAACUUAGAUCAUUUUGAUAGAGUGGAAAUAGAGGUGUAUGAAAUAUUUGUUCCUACCCACCCUAGGAAAUUGAAGAAUAUUUAAAAAUUAUGAAAGUACAGAUAAAAUUAUAUCCUUCUAUUUCUCCAGAUUGGGGUAGAAAAUAAACUUUAAUAUCUCAGGUGUGUUUAGAUUUUGAAGUUCUUAAUAUUUAAAGGACAUACUUCCUCUUCCUAAAAUUAGUGUUUUCCUCUUUUUUUUUUUUUGCUUAAACUCUAAAAUGGGUACUGGGUCUGAUAGAAAUGGUUGUAUCAUUUAAUCUAGUGCAAACUUGAGACCUUUUUUUUUUUCUAUCAACCUGGAAUAGAAAUAGAGUGACUUCAAAUGCUAAUGAUUUUUGCCUUUUAAAUUCCUUAUGGAUCCUACAUGCAAACUUUGAUCCCUAUAAAAACUCUUUUUGAAAAGUUACAAAUAAACUGACUUUUAUGUGCACUUUGAAAAAACUUAAUUUUUGUAAUUUGUUAUGCUUUAAAUAUCCAACUUUGUAAAAUACUUUAAAAAUAAUGAAGAAAGGGUGGGGGAAAAACUGUAAUUAUAAUGUAUACAUGUAAGGAUAACCUGACCCCCUUGCUGUACAGUGGGAAAAAAAAAAAAUAAUGAACACCAUUAGUAUAUAUUGAAAGCUUUUUCUCUGGCUAAAUGCUAAACAUCUAAAUGUGUGGGGUUUUUUUUCAUUGAUUCUUUUCCAGUAAUACUAUGAGGUAGAUAAUAGAUAUUAAUAUCUCCACUUUACAGAAGAUGAAACAGGUUGUGAAAAUUUAAGUAACUUACUUAAGUCACCCUCUUAGUAAUUGGUAGAGCUUGGAGUCAAACUCAGGUUUAACCUGACUUUAACCUUAAUGGAGGUUGUACCACUGGGAGCACAGCAUCCAUGUACACCAUGGAACAUGAAAUGAUGUCAGUAACUUACAUUUGUUUUAAUAACAAAGGAAGUGUCAUUAACCUGCUGAUUCCCAGUCAACACUGUCAUCAACCCAAGACUAAGCAGGCUCAGAGAGGAGCUGGAUGCCAGGCACCUGGCCACACCUGGCUGGCCGCAGUGGACUUGAGGUUUCACGCUUUCUACUGCCAGCCUGUGAAAUAGAAAAUCAAAGGAGAGGGUGUCUCUGCAGAGUCAGAGGGUGUCUCUUGCAGAUCCCAUGUGAUUUCAUGUGUGCCCUAACACUGCAGAACAUGCUUGUAGCUCUACUCUAGGGAAAGAAUCCCUCAUAGUAAGGCUGUUUUUAUGUUAUUUUUCAAGGGUAGAAAAAAGUUAUAGCUAUUCUGCAUCUGGCCAAUUAUUAAGGAAUAAACAUUCAAGAGGGACUUGGGCACUUUGAUAGAUAUGUUUAAAAAGGAUUCCCAUGAGAAGAAAUAUAUUUGUUUUUGUGAAAUUCCUCCUCUUUUGGGGAUUAGCAUAUACACACUAUACAAAAUAGACAAGUAAUAAGGACCUACUGUAUAGCACAGGGACAUCUACUCAAUAUUCUGUAAUAAGGCCUACAUGAGAAAAGAAACUGAAAAAGAAUGGAUAUAUGUGUAUGUGUAACUGAUUCAGUUUGCUAUACACCUGAAACUAAAACAACAUUGUAAGUCAAU